rnacentral:rRNA from 1 species
UACGUAGGGGGCAAGCGUUGUUCGGAAUUACUGGGCGUAAAGCGCGCGUAGGCGGUCUGAAAAGUCAGAUGUGAAAGCCCCGGGCUCAACUUGGGAACUGCAUUUGAUACUGUCAGACUAGAGUACAGAAGAGGUGACUGGAAUUCCCAGUGUAGCGGUGAAAUGCGUAGAUAUUGGGAGGAACACCAGUGGCGAAGGCGACUACCUGGCCUGUUCUUGACGCUGAGGCGCGAAAGCUAGGGGAGCAAACGGG